GCUCUAGUGUAGAUAUGUUCGCGUAUUGAGAGUUCUCACCAAGGAAACGUCUCCGUGUGAUGGCGAGGCACGAUCCUGGACAUCUGGAUCGGACGAUGUGUCCUGCUUCAUAAUCGACUGGACAUGAUCAGGCGGGAUGAAGGCGGUUUAAGAGAUUCCCGAACCCUGUUCCAGCAUGAUGAUGCUCCUGUAAACAAAGCCCCUGAGCUCCAUGAAGACAUGGUGUGGAGGUUCAGGUUGGAGAAAGUGGAAGAUCUGGAGUGUCCUGCACUGAGCCCUGACUCUGACUCAACCCCACUGAACACCUUUGGGAUGAACUGGAACUGGAGUCUGAUCAACAUCCCAACAUCAGAGUCUGAUCUCACCAAUGAUCCUGUAGCUGAAUGAUCACUAAUCCCCACAGAUACACUCCAACAUCUAGAGAAGAGAAGAGAAGAGAAGAGAAGAGAAGAGAAGAGAAGAGAAGAGAAGAGAAGAGAAGAUUUGUAACAGCAGCACAUGAAGCUUCAUUAUUCAGUAUUUUCUCUGACUGGAGCAGGAGGUUGUUGAGAUGAAGAGCUCCUCCUCCUGCUCAGGUUUCCAGCUCUCACUACAACACACUCAGAUAGGUUCACAUCUGAAUCUCACAGCCACUUUACAGUCCAUUUCAUUUAUUAGAUGAAGCACAUAAUUCAUUUUUUCACAGAGAAAGUGAAUGAGACAACGUAGAAAAAAUAAAAAUGUGUCGCUUUUAUCUAGAGAGUAAAUGAGAAGCUUCACAACGUCAGGCAGAACAACGAGGAGGUCAAGUGAAAGGUGUUUCUUUUCAGGUUCAGGAUAAGAAAAGUGAUGUUCUGUAAACACCUCGGUGUCUAGGAUGCAAUCAAGAAGACAACUAAUCGUACACUGGCAAAAAUUGCAUUACUGGUAAACAAGACAGCAGACUCGAAGGUCAGAGGUAUUUUGAUAUUUUAUUAAAAGUUCCAUAAUAAUAGAAUGAUGUACGAAAGAAAAAACAACGUAGUCAUGAUACAAAACAAGUGGUUAUUAUAAUAACAGUAAGAAUAAUGCUCCAGAGUUCUGUCUAAGUGACUGGAACAGAACGUAAGCGUAUAAUUUAGCAUGAUCUAUAAUAACUCCUGGCGCAGAAGCGUACGCCGCCGAGCUUUAACACUGCUUUGGGUGCACCGAGAUUCAGAGACGCUUCAGAUUUAAUAAGGACGUCAAAGCAGAAGCAAACACGACAGGGCUGAAUAUGCUCAUUCUGCUCAUUUCAGGACAUCAGGACAUCAUCACGCUGUUGUUAUUGGGAGAGCGGAGAGAUUCUGACAGCUCUACACGGUCGAGAGGACGUGUUUGUACUUCCUGAAAACUGCCUUUGAGAAGAAAUGUGGAAAAAUGCUAGAGACAGAAAAUGAGCUGCUAUUGCUUUGUAAUGCAGAAAAAUGUACACUAUAUUGCCAAAAGUUUUGGGACGUCUGCCUUUCCAUGCACAUGAAUGUAAUAUGGAGUUGUCCCGCCCUUUACAGCUAUAACAGCUUCAACUCUUCUGGGAAGGCUUUCCACAAGGUUUAGGAGUGUGUUUAUGGGAAUUUUUGACCAUUCCUCUCUAGAAGCCCAGUGAUUUGUGAGGUCAGAAGAUCCAAGGGUGACUAUAAAUUCCAGAUAAACAACACUUUACAAUCUACCUUUUCAAUGCAGAAGUCAUGGUGUUAAAGUAUGUCAUUAUACAUUAAAAGUUAUUUUUUAAUGACAAUGCUCGGUUUUCACAGCAGGCCUGAAGAUGCAGGAUCCACACCAUAACAUCUUCUCAUGGAGAUGAAGCACAUCACAAACACCAAACAGACGUAAAUAAACUGACGAGCUAAAAAAGCGUCGUUCUCCGAAGCUCAGCUAUUACGCCUAAUGACCAGCAUCAGCAGGAUUUAUUGCCUUAAUGACACUUUGCACUACACAUCAUUAGCUUAUCACACCACAGACCACGUUACACAAUUACACCACCGAGACGCUGCCACAUCCGUUUGUUUGACUUAUUGAAUAGAUGAAUUUACAGAAACGCGAAGAUGUCGGACUGAAGGUAGGAGAGUCUUUUUGAAAAUGAUGAAGAGAUUUGUUCAUUUAUGUAAUAUAUAUAUACAUAUAUAUACAUAGCUAUACACUGAUCAGCUGUAACAUUAUGACCACCUGCCUAAUAUUGUGUUGGUUCCCCUUUUGCUGCCAAAACAGCCCUGACCCUAUGAAGCAUGGACUCCAGUAGAUCUCUGAAAGUGUGCACAGGGGUCAGCAUGGGCAGCCUGACUCUGCAGCUAUGCGGCCCCAUACACAACAAACUGUGAUGCACUGUGUGUUAAGACCCCUUUCUAUCAGAACCAGCAUUAACUUCUUCAGCAGUUUGAUCAACAGUAGCUCGUCUGUUGGAUCGGAUCACACGGGCCAGCCUUCUCUCCCCACGUGCAUCAAUGAGCCUUGACCGCCCAUGACCCUGUCACUGGUUCACAACUGUUCCUUCCUUGGACCACUUUUGAUAGAUACUGACCACUGCAGACCGGGAACACCCCACAAGAGCUGCAGUUUUGGAGAUGCUCUGAUCCAGUGGUCUAGCCAUCACAAUUUGGCCCUUCAUCAAACUCGCUCAAAUCCUUACACUUGUCCAUUUUUCCUGCUGCUAACAUCAACUUUGAGGACAAAAUGUUCACUUGCUGCCUGAUAUAUCCCACCCACUAACAGGUGCCAUGAUGAGGAGAUACUCAGUCUUAUUCACUUCACCUGGCACUGGUCAUAAUGUUAUAGCUGACCGGUGUAUAAUAUAUAUAUAUAUAUAUAUAUAUAUAUAAAUAAAUGAAUGAUGUUGUGUCUGUGAGUCUGAUCUAAAACGAGUCUGUCGGCUUUCAGUGUGUUUUAGAAGUGUGUUUUUCCCUCUGUUGGAGAACCUUACACUUACACUUAUCUGAGCUGCUUUUUAGAUGAGCAAGCAUUCUGAGAACAUCUCAGAGAGCAGAAAUGGGUUUGAUAUCAACAUUUACUUUGAAGAUACAAACAUUUGUGUGGAAAAUUUUCUUGUUUUUUUGGAACUUUUCUAUUAAUAUAUCACCCCUAGUAGACUAAAAACAGAAAUCCUUCUAAAACACUACAACUUCUUAAAGUCCUGAGUGUCUACUUUCAUAUUCAAUUCAAUUCAAUUCAAUUUUACUUGUAUAGCGCUUUUAACAAAGAGCAUUGUCUCAAAGCAGCUUUACAUAAGAAACAACAAACAUACAAACAGUUCUAGAUGUUACCCUAAAUGAGCAAGCCUGAGGCGACUGUGGCGACUGGGGCAAGGAAAAACUACCUUUGAUGGUAUGAGGAAGAAACCUUGAGAGGAACCAGACUCAAAAGGGAACCCGUCCUCAUUUGGGUGACAGCGGAGAGUGUGAUAUGAACAAUGUCCUUAAUACAGGGUCUUAAUAUAAGCUUCAUAACCUCCACUGUGGAGAGGAACAUGACAAAGACACUCAAUCAUCAACAACAAAACAGGAGUAGCUUCAUCACACCACCCUGUCCCUUACAAUUUCUAUUAAUAUUAAAUAAUUAUUAAUAAUAAUGUAUGUUUAGAUUACGCCCAUGAUGUUCUUAUAGCAUCAGUCAAUUAAAAAGCUAAUAAAUAGCAUGUUGGAUUUUUCUCACUAAGGCUAAAUAAAACACUUUCACAUUCGUGUUGUUAUUUCCAUCCCGCUUAUCCUUAAUUAUGCUGUAAAACUGAUGGCUGCACCGAAUGACCAUGUUGAAUCCGGCAUGUGCCGAGGAGAUAACAGAGACGGCACCGAAGCGCCGAGAGUCCACCGUCCAAACAGCAUUAGCAACAAUUCAGUCAGGAACAAAAGGAAAUCUAUAAUCCUCCACAUUUCCUUUAAAAAGCGCUAAUUAAAGGUGAAGCCUGGAACACGCAGGUCCGCUCUCGACUGCUCCUCUUUGAACCGUGCAGAGACAGAAAAUAAAUUCACUGAAAACACUUAGCGCUAAUGUCUUUCACCGUUUCCUGAUUUUUGUUCUUUUCUGGAUUUAAAGUCUUCCAGCCACCUGCUGGGUUUCUGUCAUUAAAAACUGGCUCACAUCCAGUUCAAAGCUCAUUCAUAUUACGCUAAAUUACACGCUUUUUAAUUAUCAUUAAGCUGUUGACAAGCGACUAAGAAAAAUGACCGGAUUCUUUGUCGUCGUGUUCGUUGUUUGUCACCGUCACUGGGUACGAGUCUGUGAAAAAUCUCCAUGUUAGAAAAACAACCACAACGACAAAUCCACUGCUUGGGAAGAUGAUCCUCAGUGAAGCUCUGCAUAUCUAAUUUUAUACAAUUCGUCUGUAUUUACUCUCUAUUUCUCUCUGUAUGUUUUUAAAAUAUAUUAAAAUUUCUAUUUAAAUUCGCUUGUCCCAGGAAGUCUUCAUGUCUGUCACCGGCUCUCCCUUUUAGUUAUGAUGUCAUAACUAGUUUUGCCAGAGUCCCUGCCUGCACUUUACUCAUAAUCUACAUUUUCUUUAAACAUCACAUGAUCACAAGCAUACUCAAUAUCUUUCUCUCUCUCUGUCUUUUUCUGUUGAGCUACACAUCCCACUCCCGAGCUCCCAGUGCUCCCAGUGUUUCCAGUGUGAAUACUUCUUCUUUCCUGACCUGUCUGAUCCAUCCAGACAGUCUACCCCUGGUUGGAGUCUUGUGGCUUGGUGGUGGUCACUGCUGCUGUGGAUAGAUCUGUGUGGACAGCCCCUGACCCAGGGGACUGCUGUGGAUAGAACCACUUGGAUGUGAACUGCAUUGCAUUGGUCAAGAAAUUAGUGAGCUGACUUCAAGAGCUUUUUGCCUCUCGACUUUACAAUCAGGUAGCAGAAUUGUGGCAACCGAGAAAGAAACAACAACAUGGAGGACAAAGCAUAAUGAAAAUGGUUGAAAAGCUGAGGAAUAUCAUCAUCAUCAUCAUCAUCAUCAUCAAGAAAGCUGGACAGAGAACUUCAGAACCAGAUGAGAACUUCAGAAGGUCCUCAUCAGAGGACACAUCAGAGCAGUGAGAGAUGGUGCAGUGGAGAAGAUGUGAGGAAGAAGAAGGGAGAAGAUUCGUUUACUUCCAUAACAUGUUCUCACCAGAACAAUUUGAGAUGAUUCAUCUAAAAUAAAUAAAUAAUAAAAAUCAAGACCACAGAAAAAGGGGGUGGAGUUUCAUCAAGGUUUCAUUAUGAUGUCAUGGUUGAUCCACCAAACAUCAUAUAGAGUCUACAAAGCACUUUGGCUCUGGAUAAAAGGAAUCUGCUAAAUGCUAUUAGUUAUUAAAAUUCCUACGCAUUCAAGUCUUUCCCGAAUGAAUGAGAUAUCUGUAACGUUCCCAUUAUCCCAUUAUCCCAUUAUCCCAUUAUCCAGAGCCGGAGCACUUUAAUUGCUUCGACCUGCUGCUGCUGCUGCUGCAGAACUUUCUCUUUAAAAGCUCUGAACAAUAUCGAUUACGUAAAAGAACCUUCGCUGCCAUGUUUCAUGGUGACACAUCUGACAGAAUUCUCAGGCUAAUAGCUAUAAUAUAUGAUUCUAAAUAUAGAUUAGAAAUACGGACAUAAGGAAUAAGUAUUAACUCCCUCUUCAGCAUUUUCACAUUUUAUCCUUUUAGCAAUUUGGAACUGACUUCAUUAGGAUUGUAUGUUAUAAAUCGACACAAAAUAAUGCAUAGUAUUGAAGUGCAUGCUGGGAAAUCAGUACAGUUUGCAAAAUUACUUUAAAUUAUAUAGACAGAGUAAAAGUUAGGAUUGUAUAAGUAUUGACCCCCCUGUUUCUGUGCUGCUGUGAAAGCCCUCCCUGUAGUAGUUCCUGGUGCAGACAGUUUGCCAUCAGAAGUAAGGACAUUAGUUAAACAGUGUUGAUCUGCUUGUAAAGGUAGUGUUAUGUAAUUUCAGUAUAAAUUCUCCUGCUCCUCAAGUUUAAGUUAGAUGAUAACUAAACAACAUCAAGAAGACCAAAAAUCUGU